GUUGGCUCUUCAGGAAAUUGCCUUAACUAGGGAUGCAACAGGCAGGCAAUAUGAAACUUCAACAGAGGACCACGAAGACACUGAACUGGAGUGAUUUUAUACAUCAAAGCUAAAGUCCAGGUUUUUUUCUCAAAUGUUCGUUCCUGUUUCACCUUAGUGUAAGCUAAAUGUGACCUUGAGCUAGUUGGUGGGUUGGUGGGGAAUGGAAUUUAGAUUAGGAAGAAUUUAUGAUCAAUGUGAUAAGUAAAACAACAACAAAAACAAUGCAUUUUCUUUCUUCCUCCAAAGAAUGACUUCAGAAGAUUUUUUUUUUAUGUCAAUUGUCUUGGUGUUUUCAACCCAUCUUGUGGAAGUUCGCUAUUAUGCUCAUCCUUGACGAAAUGAUUAGUUUGAUAAGAUGACAUGUCAAGCCUCAGAACUAUAUGGAACGUGGCAUUCUGAUCUGGAGGGUAAUAGCUUGAAGCCACAUCUCAUUCUCCUUUUUUACUCAGCAG
rnacentral:lncRNA from 1 species